rnacentral:rRNA from 1 species
CAGCAGCCGCGGUAAUACGGAGGGUGCAAGCGUUAAUCGGAAUUACUGGGCGUAAAGCGCACGCAGGCGGUCUGUCAAGUCAGAUGUGAAAUCCCCGGGCUUAACCUGGGAACUGCAUUUGAAACUGGCAGGCUAGAGUCUUGUAGAGGGGGGUAGAAUUCCAGGUGUAGCGGUGAAAUGCGUAGAGAUCUGGAGGAAUACCGGUGGCGAAGGCGGCCCCCUGGACAAAGACUGACGCUCAGGUGCGAAAGCGUGGGGAGCAAACAGGAUUAGAUACCCGCGUAGUCCCUGUCUCUUAUAA